rnacentral:lncRNA from 1 species
ACCGGCUGAAUGCGCGUGCAGAGAGCUCCACGCCCGGUGCUGGAAAAAAGGUAAGUUUUAACUCUUUCCUCUCCCCAGAGCCGGGCGGGAGGGGGACCCUGAGGGUGGGGGCACCCUCAGGGCACUAUAGUGCCACGAAAAAGAGUCUGUUUUCCUGGCACUAUAGUAGUCCUUUAAGCAGGAGAAUUAUGAAACAACAUCAUACAUGUGCAUUUUAUUUUCAAACACAAUUUUCCAAUUCCUACUAUGAAAGAGAUGUCACAGUGAUUUGGUUCCCAAAGCUUUUUGAUGAGUGUCUAAAAAUCUUCUAGCCCAUUUAACCUGCACAUCAGAACUAGGAUUUUAGGUACACAAUGGAACCCUAUAGUGAAUUCUAUAAAACAUUUAUCCUUUACCUGCACCUCAGCAAACAUAGUGUACAUCAUAAUGUGCAUCAAAUGCAAAGGUGGAAUGUCAGAAACUGCACUAAAAAAUGCACCUACAUCUUUUUGCAUUUAAUAACAAAAAAUGGACAAUCAUAUGAGCAAACAUUUCACACAGCCCAGGACAGAGUCUUCAAGAUAUGAAAGUAUUUAUACUAAAGAGCAACUUCAAAUUAUAGGUUGAAAUAAGGAUGUGGGAAUUUAAAUUUAUAAAUAGGUUUGAUGUCUAAAUUCUGAGUUAAAUAUAAGACAGAGAUUCAUGGGUGCCUAUUUAGCAUAAGUGUAUUUUAACAUGUUUAGCUCUCUAUACCAGAUACAGAGACCAAACGUGGGUCAUGUAUGUCCAUUCAGAGCUCUUAACCUCUCUUAAUUGCCCUCCUUAUACAAAACAUCUGCAGAUACCGACCACCCCGUGUGACAUGAUUGCAGAGACCAUAACAAACUGACUGUUCCACCCUAAUGUUCAGUGUGUAUUAGUAUUUUUAUUUUUCCUUUAUACUAUGUAUAAAUAUGUCUUCACCCAACAAAAAAAGCUUGCAAAAUAUCCCUCUUUUAUUAGCUGAUAAAGGAAUCACUUAUACAUUGUUUGUUUGUUUUUUAUAUUGUAUUCACGUUUAGUUAUGUGGCUAAAAUGGUCCCAAUAAAACAAUUAUUAGAAGGAGCAGAUAAACCUGAAUUGAGCAAGGACUAAAUGAGUACACUGAGCUAGGACGUUACCUGCAUAGCUCAGUCUGUAUUGGGGUAAUAUAGCAGAGAGAAUGGGAGUCUCUCAUGAAUCCACAGUUGUUUUAAAGCCUAAUAAUCCACUUCAAUGGAGAAUUGGCCAUAUUUGCUUUACUUUGUAAUUGCCUGUAUUGAGCUCUAUAUUGUUCCUCUGUUCUCCAGAUAGAGGACUGGUCAUUGGAUAUCACUAUCCAGCACAUCAUCAGCAAGAUUUAAUGCCCUUAUUUGUGGACAAAAACGUCUGAUGACAAACUUACCAGUAUCUGUGUUACUCAAUGCAUAUCACCACUGGUUAAAACACAUUGAUCUCUAAGAUUUAUGCUCCUAGAAAGCUUGAUCCGAUUUUUUUUUUUUUUGUCAAUCAAAUUUUAUUAGGAUUUAUCGAAGUGUUACAAGCAUAAGUAUUGUACAGCAAUGUGGAAGAAAAUAGUGCUUCACAAUUCCGUUCUUGUACAUUAUACAGCAUGUCGUGUUAAGGCUUGUUCUCAUGGGUUAUUUCAAUAGCGGCCCGCCUCAUUCAUGAGGCGGUGUGGUAUGUGAGAUAUGUUGUCUUUAGUUAGUGAGUUAGUGUUAUGAAAUCGUCUUUCUACGGUGUUUUCUCGCUUGGAGUGAGAGCCCCUGAAGUGAGUUGUUUCUGGGGUACCGUCUCUGGCUGUGCAGAGCUCCCCUCCCCUUCCCCCCAUCCUCUCUGUCUACGGUCAUGGUCGUCCGGGCCGUAUAGUGGGUGAUGUGUUGGUCAGUGGCUGAGCUUGGUAUGCUGUCGGUCUCUAUCGCACUCUGUCCCUCGGGUUCAACCCAGCAGGUGUAGGGUGCGUUGGUGCCUUGUGAGUAACCGUGAAGUGGUUGCCCCGGUUUGGGGGCCCUCUAAUACUGCAGCUAGGUCCCCUCUAGGCGUAUGUCCCCUUUAUCCAUUGUUGUCCUGUGGAAUAUCGUGGCUAUUGUGUAUGUGUUAAUCAUUGUGAGGCUUCCUUUGAUGGAUCUACUCUUCGUCUUGUCUCCCCAAGGUUUAGUAUCCUCCGUGUCGUAGUGCCUUGUGGUGCGAGUGUCUGGGUUUGUGCUGUCCCCAGCUCCCUUCCUCCGUGUUGGAUGGCGGCUUUCGCCGCGCCUUUGGUGUCAGGUGGCGUGUGGGGCUGGGGCAGUCUCCCAUUUGUGUGCUACUCCGUGUUACUGAGUUAGGGGAGUCGACGUAUCUCUGAAUUUACUCCCGUAGUUCUGUGUCUGGGCCGUCCGUGGUCCUAAGCGGGAGUUCGGCUUUCUUGGGUUAGGGUGUGUCAGUGGACCUGUCAGUCCGAGUUCUAGGGAGUGGUUCAGGUGUUGCCUUCCCUGUCGGGGGUAGUUCUUUAGGAUGGUCGUGUGGUCAGUCUAUACUAGGUCCCCCCCCAGCCCCCCCGAGGCGAGCGCCGCCCCCCCCACGCGGUCUCGCCACCCCCGCUCUCUUGGUCACAUAGUCCAUCCAUGGGUACCAUGUCAGCGCACAUUUUUCCGCCCGUCCCUGCAGUGAAGCCGUCAUCCGUUCCAUGUUGUAGAUGUCUUCCACCCUAGCGAUCCACUGUUCUAGCGAGGGGGUCAGCGUGGUUUUCCAGUGUGUGGGGAUAAGCGUCUUAGCCGCCGUAAGCAGGUGUAUAGUGAGCCCUCUUUUGUAGGCUGUCAGUGGUGUGUGCGUAUGGUUGAGCAACAUCGGCAGGGGCUGUAGCGGAAGUUCAGUGCCUGUGAUAUCUACUAUUGUGCGGUUUAUCGUUCGCCAGUAGGGGGCUAUAAGGGGACAUGUCCACCAGAUGUGGUAUGCUGUGCCCCUUUCUGUUCCGCAUCUCCAGCAGUCGUCAGGGAUCGUGUCAUGAAUAUGUCCUAGGAUAUCCGGGGUCCUGUACCAAUGCGUUAGAAUUUUAUAGUUGCACUCCUGGUACUUUGAGCUUAUGUUUCCCUUAUGCGACAGUAGGAAGAUUUUGUUCCAUUCCACGUCCAUGAGCUCUGUCCCCGUCUCUAUUUCCCACCGCCUCGUGAAGCCCAAGGCGUCCUUAUCUCCGCUGUUCAUUAGGGCGGUAUACAGAGUUGACACGCCAUGUGUGAUGUGUUGCCGGGCCGUGCAUAGUUGUUCCAGAUACAAGAGGGGGCGGUGUACGUGAUCCUUCCCCUUGAUAGUGUUGUAGUAUGCUUUGAGCUGGUGGUAAUGAAACUCGUCUAGUCUGGUAGGUCUACAGUCUCGUACCAGUUCUGUCAAGGGUCUCAGGCUCCGGCCGCUGCACCAUUGGUGUAGGUAGACCCAAUCCGUCGCUUGAAAAUUUUUAAGGGCAGUAGGAGUUAGUCCAUCGGCUAACUGGGGGUUGUUGGUUAUGGGUGUGAGCGGGUUGGGAGAUGUGGUAAGCUGCUUGGUGUAUCUUAUUCCGCACCAGACCCCAAGGGUGGCGUCUAUCAUUGGGUUGCCUGUGCGUAUUUCUCUAAGCGUAGCCUCUCCCAACCAUAGCACGGCGGGGAUCUUCCCCUGUGCUUGUUGGAGCUCCAUGUCCACCCAUUGCUUAGCGUUGGGGUUGGCAUGCCAGUCCACCAGUCUAUGUAGGUGGGUUGCCUGGUAGUACAUGAGUACGGACGGGAGUCCCAUGCCUCCGUCACACUUUGGUCGCUCCAAAAUCGUUCUCCGUACCCUUGUGGGCUUUUUGUUCCAGACAAACUGUCUAAUGUCGGUCGUUAGCCUCUGGAAGAAGACUCUAGGAACAGUGGUAGGCAGUGUCUGAAAUAAGUAUAGAACGCGCGGCAUGAUGUUCAUUUUUAUAGCGCUUAUGCGGCCGAACCACGAUAUGUACUUGGACGUCCAUCGUUUUAAGUCUUGUUGUAACGAUGCAAGGAGAGGAGUGAAAUUCAGUUGGUAGAUCUGCGCGAGCUCUUUCGGCAGCCAGACACCGAGGUAUCGGAGCUUUGUUGUGCAGAUUUUGAAUGCGAAGUGUGUUUCAAAGUGCCUUGUCAGGGUCAGGUUUUGUGCCACCGGCAUUGCCUCUGAUUUUUCUAGGUUAAGUUUUAGAUUUGAGACUUUGCUGUAUUGUUUGAACGCCUCGAGCAAAUUCGGAGUCGAGAUUCUAGGUUGUUCCAGGAAGAAGAGCAUGUCGUCCGCGUAUGCCGCGACCCGGUGUUCCGUUCCGCCCAGGCGAGUCCCCGUUAUGCCCCCGUCCUGUCUGACCGCCUCCAGAAACGGUUCGAGAGUGAGGGCAAACAGAAGGGGUGACAGAGGGCAUCCCUGGCGGGUACCAUUGUGGAUGCUAAAUGGUUUUGUCAGUGCUCCAUUGACCCGAAUGCGCGCCGUUGGGACCGUGUAUAAUGCGGCCACCCAUGAUCGUAUGUGGGUGCCAAAGCCCAUGUGGCGUAGCGUCUCAGCGAGGAACGUCCAGUCCACUCUGUCAAACGCCUUUUCGGCAUCCGUCGACAGGAGCACUACCUCCCGUUUUCCAAUCUUGGCCGCGUGUAUGACAUUGAGGGCUCUGAUGGUGUUGUCCCUGGCCUCCCUCCCGGGUAUGAAGCCGACUUGGUCGAGGUGUAUCAAGUCGGGCAGGAGAUGUGAGAUCCGUAGUGCCAUUGCCUUUGCGAAUAUCUUCAGAUCCGCAUUUAGUAAGGAAAUUGGGCGGAAGCUGGCGCAGUUCGUGGGGUCUUUACCCUCUUUUGGGAGGACCGUGAUUGUGGCUCUCAAGGUGUCCGUAGGGAAGUGGCCAUCCGUUUGAAUUGAGUUGAGGCCCGUGAGAAGUCUCGGCAAUAGGAUGUCUCUGAAGGUGCGAUGGUAUGAUAGCGAUAGCCCGUCUGGGCCUGGUGCCCGGUGCGGCUUUGAGGCUUUCAUGGCGCCGGCCAGUUCUUCAAUCGUCAGAGGUUGGUCCAGCUCCGCAGCCUGUUCCGGGGUAAGUUUUCUGGCCACAUGAUUUUCUAGGUAUGUCCGGACUCGGUCCUUAUGACGCUGUUCUGCGGGGCCCUCCCGGGCUCGAGCUUGCGCGUAGAGUGUCGCAUAGUACUCUUGGAAGGCUUCGAGGAUGCCUUCUGGUAAGCGCGUGACUUCUCCCUCUCGCGUGUGUAUUUUAUGGAUGUGUUGUGCCCUCCUCUUGUCUUGUAGCAUUUUCGCCAGCAACCUGCCGCUCUUAUUGGAAUGUUCGUAGAAGAAUCUGGCUGAUUUUCUAGCUGUGUGUAGUUGUCCCUGUGAUAGUAUGUCUCUAAGUUCUCUGCGAGCGAUCGUGAGGUGUAGGUAUGUGCCUUCUUCCAGCGUGUGUUUAUGUUCGUAUUCUAGUUCGGCUAUGCGCUUCGUUAGCGUGAUGAGGCGUGCGGAUCGGUCUUUUUUGCGUCUAGUGCUCUCUGCGAUGAGACGGCCCCUGAUGACGCAUUUAUGCGCUUCCCAGAGUACCAGUGGGGAGGUCUCCGAAUUCUCGUUGUCAGCGAAAUAUUGGGUCAGGGCGUCGAUAACCAUAGCCUUAAGUGCGGGGUCAUCCAGCAGGGAUUCGUUGAGUUUCCAUUGUCUUUCUCGAGGUUUAAACAGUGGAGAACUGAUGUGCGCCACCACGGGCGCAUGGUCGGAAUAGUCCAGUAGUUCGAUGUCGGCUUUGUGCAGUAGGUUCAGAUAUUCUUGCGCUAGAAAUACAUAAUCAAUGCGGCUGUAGUGUGAGUGGACCGCUGAAUAGUGGGUGUAGUCACGGUCGUCUGGGUGGCUCACUCUCCAGCUGUCCACCAGCCCCUGCCUGUUCAGUGCCCGCAUUAUUUUGCGUACGCAGUGCGCUGGUACCGCGCUCACACCUCUGGAGGUGUCCAGAUGGGGGUCUAGCGGUACGUUCAAAUCUCCCGCCAUCACCAGCAUACCUUCCCUGAAGCUUUCCAGUUUAGCUAGUGUCCUGCUGAUGAAGGUGUGCUGCCGUCUGUUGGGGCUAUAUAUGGUAACGAAGGUAUACGUGUAGUCGGCUAUAGAGCCUUUGAUGAAAAGGUAGCGCCCAUUGGGGUCUGUCAUUGCCGCCUUGAGUUGGAACGGUACUGUAUGUGCAAACAAUAUCGCCACCCCUGCCUUUUUCGCGUCCGGGUGGUUCGCGUAGAACCCUAACGGGAAGCGACGGUUCUCUAAUUUGGGAGCCUCGUUGCCUCUGAAGUGCGUCUCCUGUACGAACGCCACCGACGCCCUCGGUGUCCAGAGCUUGCUGAGUAGGCGUGUGCGUUUCUCCGGCACAUUGAGACCCUGGACAUUGUUCGACCAGAGCGUUAGUGGGGCCGGCGCGAAACCCUUUGUAGUUGCGGCCGCAGCGAGGGGGCCGCCCCACCCCGGGUAGGGCAUGGAGGGGAAGGAGAGAGAGAGAAGUGAGAGAGAAAUAUGUUGUCAGUGGUAUGUCCGGUGUGUGUCCGUCCGGUUGUCUGAGGGUUGGGUUCAGGGGAGAGUGUGGUGUGACUUUGUCCCGGUACCGGUUACGGUCGUCACAGGGUCAGAAAUAUGCCUAUAUCCCGCGACCCCGGUAUUAUAUACAGAAAGGGUCUGUCACAGUGAGGUUCAGUGUAGCCACCGAGGGAGGUAAGUUAUCGGUUGUACUUGUGUCCAGUCUACGAACUCCCCUUAUGGCUCCCAACCUGCGGGUGCUAUAUGCAUUGUGUUAAGUAGCAGGUCUUAGUUGUGGGGGUAUCUUGACGUCCGCCCUAUUGUACCUACGUGCUGACCCAGUCCAUAUAGGGGUGUGAACAGGAGUUGGUACUUGUUGUGUGUCCGGCUGGGCCCGCCCCUCCCCCUCCUCGGCCCCUCCCAGUGUGUUCCCGCUCCUCGAGUUGGCUGAAGUGUUCGCCUCCGCCCCCUAGUUCCCCAGGCCUUCCUGUACUCUGCCCUGUGUGCUCCACCGGAGUACCCUCCCAGUCAAGGCCUGCUUCUGGGGUGUCGAACUGGGUGUCCUUACCCUAGGGUGGUAUGGGUGACCUCAGGGUGCCCUAGCUCCAUACCCCGGGUCUCUGUCUCCCCGCCCCCUUCUCCCGUCGCCCCCUGGAUCCGCCUUUGCUGCCUUACCUAGUGUGUGUAGCAAUUGUGUGUUUGCUAGUAGCUUGCUAUGCUAUAUGUCUAUGAAACCACGUGUAAACUAAACAUGCUGUCAUUAACUUUGAACUGUUAGGCCUCUGCGGCGGCCCACGCCUUUCCUCUUCGCCUGCCUCCCUCUGUUGAUCGUUCAGCUUGGGUCGCCACUUACACCCCGACCUGCCCCCGCCCCUUCCCUCCCGCAAAGCCCCUCAUGCCUGUAAGAUACCCGUGAAAUUGGGGCAGUGUUCAAGUUCGUAUCCGACCCCACAGACGGGUUAGGGUUUUCAGCUGCGGCCCUCUUUGCAUCCCGGCCCUCCCGGCGGGCCUGAUCCCAGACCCCUGCAUGCGUGCCCUGUGUCUCGUGCCCCACCCCACCUCAGGGGGACCCCGGGUAAAAAGCCAGUGGACCCCUCUAUCGGUUGGUCUCCCCCUCCCCUCUGCGCUUCUACGUGCAGGCUCCGUCCCUCCCAACCUGUGGGGAUCCCCUGGUGGCUUUUCCCUUAGGCUGAGGGGUGAGAGACUAAAUUAUCCGGGCUCCCGAGUCAGUACAUACCCGCCUGGUUACGGCUGGAGACCUUUAGAGGGCGAGGUGAGUGCUGCCGGCUUUCAUGCGCUGGUGCAGCUGGGGUACCAGGGCGGGCGUCUUGUGCGGGGGUGGCUCCUUAGCUGGUACUAUUCUUCGGGGCCCUCGGGGCCUCCUCGUCGCCGUGGAGUCCCUGGGUGCGGGCGGAGGUUGUGCGCUGCGUCUGACGGUCCAGUUGAUCGGGCCGGAGGGUUAUCUAGGAUCCAGUUUGGGACCUGUACUUCAGGUAAGCCGGCCGUCCGGAGGAAGCGGGGAACGUCGUUGGGCCAACGAAUAACAUGCCAAAUGUUCCCGAUUUUGGCCUGGAGGCUAAAAGGGAACCCCCAUUUGUAGAUUAUUCUCCUUUCUUGCAGGAGGCGCGUUACUGGCCUCAGGGCCCGUCGGGCGUCCAGCGUGAUAAUGGAUAGGUCCUGGAAGAGGGAGAUCUCGGCGUCCAUGUAGGUGACAUGUGGCCGUGCCCUGGCGGAUCUCAUAAGGGCCUCCUUCAGUUGGAAUGACACCAGGGAGCAGACGAUGUCUCUGGGUUGACCAUCUCUCCUGGGGGCCCUCAGGGCUCGAUGUGCCCUUUCUAUGCCGAAUUCUUGUGGGGCCAGGUCCCCCAGGAGGUGCGUAAAUAGGCCCGUGAGGAUCUCCUGCAGGUUUUCCCCCUCCGCCUCUGGCAGGCCCCGGAUUCUGAUGUUGUUCCGGCGGCCUCUAUUGUCCAGCUCCUCAAUUUGCCGGCGUAGGUCCAGGAGAAUGUUGCCCUGCCUCGUGGUGGCCAGGUCCGCGGCCUGCUGAUGCUGUGCGGCCUGCAAUUGCGUUUCUUCCAGGGUAUCCACCCUCUGUUCCAAUGCAGCGAGGUCGUUGCGGACUGCUGCCACUUCUUCCCUUAUGAUUGCGCGCAGCUCAGCCACCAUUUCAGUUUUGUCUCUGCGAGUCAGCAUGCUUGCGGAGAUCGCAGCCAGGUCGGCCGAUAUCUGUGAUAGGGUGCCUACUGCGGGCGAGUCCUGUGCCGAUCCCAUCACACUCGAGCCUGGGGAGGAGGGAGUCUGCAUGCUCGGGUCCCCGGAGCCCCGGAGGUCGGGCGGCACUGACAGGAAUUCGUCCAUCGGGCCCGGCGUCUGCCGCGCCGGGGUCGCUCCGGGUGGUCCUGCAGCAGUUAGUCGCUUGUUUUUCCCCAUUUGUGCAGUUUUGUAGAAAAAUAUGGCUUGUGUAUUUGGGCUUAGCAGGUUGGGGCCUAGGAGCUCGAGUUAGGUGCCUCUUACUCCAUUGGUAGUCAGGCCACGCCCCCCUGAGUGGAGAAGUUUAACCUAUGGUGAUCUGGUGAAGGUGGCUAGGGGAGUGGACGCUAAUCCAAAUACCAGAAAGAGGAGCACACCUCUUAUGGCUGUAACUGUCCCUAGAGCUGGUGGGGACAGAAGGCAGGUAGACUGCUGGAAUUGUGGCAGGAAAGGACACAUUAAACGUAACUGCAAGUGUCCUCCUAAAAAUAGAAAACCCCAAGAUUCUAAUGAUAACUCCCAUGACAGCCAACCACCACCACCAUCACCUCCCCCCCCCCCAAUAGGAAAUUGGCAAACCAGUGUCCCUACAUAUCAUCAAUAUCCCUGACUCUGCAGGACCCUCACCCAUUAUCAAUGUUACACUGCCUGGGGACCGAAUAGUCCCUUUCCUGUUGGACACUGGCGCUGCUAAAUCAAUGUUACAGGAAAAAUAUGUAUUCCCGUAUGAGAAAUCCAAUGAUGUAUUAUCAUGUGUAGGGGUAGAUGGUAUCGAAAAUGACAUUCCCCUGACCCACAAGUUGAAAUUGAAGCUACAUGACUCUACUGCCCUUGUAACAAGGCUACUUGUCAGCCCUCAUGCCCCUGCUAAUCUACUAGGCAGUGAUAUACUGUCUGCUCUUAGUGCAACUAUCCAGUAUAGCCCCACGGGAAAAGUAACAUUGUCUGUGCCUUUAGAGGACAAACAAAUGAUAUCUCUUUCAAAUGUUCUGGCAACUCUCACUAUGCCCAGCCAUGUGCCAGAACCUACCAUUGACUUGUCCUCAGUCCCUGAUUCCUUAUGGGCUACAGGGAAGACAGAUACAGGCAGACUCUCUGUGCCCCCAGUCAAAGUGAAUCUCCUGCCCGGAGCCAAACCUCCCUAUCAAAAACAAUACCCCCUAAGCCCAGCACAGGAAGAUGCUAUUUCGCAAUCUGUGCAAGAGUUUCUGCAGGCAGGGGUAGUUGUCCAGACCACCUCCCCUUGUAACACACCAUUGUACCCAAUUAAGAAAAAGCAAGAGAAAGGGAAACCUGUGGUCUACCGUAUGGUACAUGAUUUGAGGGCAAUUAAUGCUGUAACUGAACUCAUUGCCCCUAAUGUUCCCAACCCACACACCUUGUUGGCACAAAUACCACCUUCCUCUAAGGUAUUUACUGUUAUUGACUUGGCAAAUGCAUUUUUCAGUGUGCCCCUGGCUUCCGACAGUCAGUUUUUUAUUUGCAUUUACACAUAAACACUAGCAGUACACUUGGACAGUAUUGCCACAGGGCGCACAAAACUCACCCACUAUGUACAGCAUGGCUAUGGCCCAGAUUCUUGAAGAAUGGAAAAGGCCAAAUAACAUAAUUUUAUUGCAGUAUAUCGAUGACCUACUCCUAUGUUGCGAUAAUAUGGAAUCUUGUAUUGCAAACACUCUUUCCUUGCUAAAAUUCCUAGAAAAAGCAGGCUGUAAAGCAACAAAAACAAAACUGCAAGCAUGUGUAGAGAAAGUUAUUUUCCUAGGACAUUGCAUUUCCCAGGGCAUAAAACAUCUCUCGGAAAGUAGAAAAACUGCAGUUCAAAAUAUUAGACCCCCCCGCAGUUUAGCCCAGGUUCGUACUUUCCUCGGUUUGAUUUCUUAUUGCCGACCUUGGCUUCUACAGCAAUCUACAUGCAGCCCCUGUAUGAGUGUCUCGCCAACGAAAACAAACCAUUUAAAUUAACCCAUGCGGCAGAAAAUGCCUACUUUUACUGCCACUGAUAUUGUUUUAGAUAAUCCGGUGACCAUAUACACACCGCAUGAUAUCAACAGCAUACUCUCACAAGUUCAACCAAAACACAUACAUACUGCAAGACAUCUCAGAAUGCAAUGUGCCUUGCUUAUGCCACCUAAUGUUACUCUUAAAAGGUGUAUGGUGUUAAAUCCAUCUACAUUGCUUCCCCUGGAUUUAAAAGAGGGGAGUGGGGAUAGUGUGAAUGGUUGUACUUCUGAUCUUUUUGUAAAUUCACUUUCACCAGAUGAGUUAGCUGAUGCCCAGGUACCCCAUGAUUGUGCAGCACUAAUGGCACAAGAGACAGCAGGUUUUUUGCAUGUAUUUGAUUCUCCAUUAUCUAAUGCAGAUUUUGAGUUUUUUGUAGAUGGUUCCAGAUAUGCUGAUGAGAAGGGUAAUUUCCACACUGGAUAUGCUGUAGUCUCUGCACAUGAGGUAAUAAAAGCUGAACCACUCGCUCCUCACUGCUCUGCACAGGAGGCAGAGCUGAAGGCACUCGCUGAAGCGUGUAAAAUGGCUUCUGGUAAGACUGCUAAUAUUUAUACAGACUCUCGCUAUGCUUUUGGUAUAGCCCAUGAUUUUGGCCCUAUAUGGCGGGCUCGUGAUUUUCUCACCUCAGCAGGAACUCCAAUCAAGAAUUCUGAAGCCGUGAGUGCACUUAUGGACGCUAUCCUGCUACCAACUCAAAUAGGCAUCAUCAAGGUGGCAGCUCACGUGAAGAUCACAGAUGAAAUCUCAAGAGGAAACCACAAAGCAGACAAAGCUGCCAAGCAAGCAGCAAUCCAAGUUCAUCCCUCUACAGGUAAUACCUUCUUAUAAGUUGUUCUUACAGAUGACGCCGUUGACUACAAUAUACUGUUGAGCUUACAAAGACAGGCAAGCAAGGAGGAACAUGACCUCUGGAGGAAACAAGAUGCAGAACCUGAUGAUGACAGAAUGUGGAGGAAUGGUAAAAGACUGUGUUUACCACGAGUGUUGUACCCCAUGAUGGCCCAGAUUGCCCAUGGACCUAUACAUCUAUCCAAGAUGCACAUGAACAGCAUAGUAAACACCCAUUGGGUAGCACCCGGAUUUACUGUUGUAGCAGCUAAACACACCCAAGCUUGCAUGAUUUGUGCUAGAAACAAUCCAGGACAAGCUGUGAAAACACCAAGUAAGCACACACCAAGGCCACUUUACCCGUUUCAAAGACUGCAGAUAGACUAUAUACAACUACCUAAGGUAGGAGUGUAUGAAUAUGUGUUGGUGUGCAUUGAUCUCUUUUCAGGUUGGCCUGAGGCCUACCCAGUGUCGAAAGCCACAACGAAGGUCAC